GGGACCUGGAGGUCCUUCCCAGGUUCUCUUUGAGGGGACUUGGCUUCUGUGGGACCGCUGCAGUCCAGUGAGAAUGAGAACAGCGCACCGGAAGGAGGCCUUGUGCGGAGGAGCAGCUGCAUGAAACCCGGAUGUCUUUCGCCUUUUCUUGACAACACCCUUCACACAAUCCCAGUGGACCUUACACUUCACUGCAAAAGAAACUCACAGGACCUGGAGUCGCAUGUAAAGGGAGGGAUGUAACCUGCUCCUGGCAGGUACAGCAGCUCAGAAGAGAAUACCAAAAUUUCUGAGGUAAGAGUCUCCCAGUCAACCUUCAAGAGAAGCUGUUACCUGCCUAGAGGAUAUGGAACUGGAGGAAAG